rnacentral:tRNA from 1 species
GCGCAAUUAGCUCAGUAGGAUAGAGCGUUGGCCUCCGAAGCCAAAGGUCGCAGGUUCGACCCCUGUAUUGCGCACCA